rnacentral:lncRNA from 1 species
GGACAAGGAGUAGACUGGAAGCUGGAAGGAUUUCCUCCUCGCGAAACAAUUGGCCAGUGUGGAAGGCCAGACCAUCUGGGCCCAGCACAGAGGCUGCUUUCUUCCAAGAGGAAUGCUGAGCACAGAAACACCCUGACCCUUGGCUGUUCCAAUCCCUGUUAGGAUCCUCUGUUCCGGGGCCCUGGAGUAGGACCUGCAGAUUUUCAAACUAGAAGUGGAAAAGCUACUGAAGCAUCUUACAAGGUCCAUAAAAGCCCCGGGCUUAGCUAGAGCAAGAGAGGAGGGAGAGAACGGAGAGAAGAAGGCACAGGAAGACCAGCUGCAGAGAGGAGCUACCCUCUCUGCUGAGAGCUUCAGAGACCUGCAGAGACAUCCGGACUACCAGCUGCAGACAGGAGCAACCCUCUCCAGGGCCUCCUCUCUGCUGAGAGCAGCAGACGUCGGGAUAACCUGCCUACAGAAAGGAGCUACCCACUGUGGGUCUCCUCUGAGCCGUUCUAACACUUAAUAAAGCUCAUCUUCAUCUUGUUCACCCUUCACUUGUUUGCAUAUCUCAUUCUUCCUGGACACAGGACAAGAACUCAGGCUGGCCACAGAGGUUUCCAGCCAGAAAAUUGACACCUCAAAGAUUC